ensembl:antisense Gm15736 predicted gene 15736
AAAAUCUCCACUCUUUCCAAUCUUACUUGAGGCCUUCCCUGCAAAAUGCCGAGCUACCAAGAGAAACAAAUUGUCUGGUUUCCCACUAUUGCCUGGAACCAGAAACAUCGAGGGGCCCCAGAGUCCGGAAGUAUCACCAAGUGGCUGCCAUGAACAGGUCCUUGCCCUGCAUCCUGGGGCUGGCUUAGGGCUCCCUCUUAGAGGUAGCACAGAAAGAUCCACCUGUGGGAAAUGUUCUAUCAAGCACCUCUGGAAUGUCCCUCUGCAGAUCAGCACUCUACUAUCAUGGAGGUUCCUAGUGGGAAGAAUGUUGCUUUGCUCUUGCUGACACAGAGGUUUCUUCUCUUCACCCCAUGAGUCCAGCCCAGUCACAGCCUCAGCCGAGACACCUCCAUCUCUGCGUGACCAGUGCCUGGGACA